rfam:Oryza glumipatula chromosome 5, whole genome shotgun sequence.
AAAAAGGCAAACCGUGUGUUCCCGUGCCAACGUUUGACUGUCCGUCUUAUAUGAAAUUUUUUUAUAAUUAGUAUUUUCAUUGUUAUUAGAUGAUAAAACAUGAUUAAUGCUUUAUACAUGACUUAUCUUUUUAAUUUUUUUCAUAAUUUUAUCAAAUAAGACGGACGGUCAAACGUUGGAUACGGAAAUCAGGGUUUAUCUUUUA